GACGGAGGAUGCAAGCGUUAUCCGGAAUUAUUGGGCGUAAAGCGUCCGCAGGUGGCUGUUCAAGUCUGCUGUCAAAGCGCAGAGCUUAACUCUGUACAGGCGGUGGAAACUGAAGAGCUAGAGUAUGGUAGGGGUAGAGGGAAUUCCCGGUGUAGCGGUGAAAUGCGUAGAUAUCGGAAGGAACAUCAGUGGCGAAAGCGACUUCCUGGACCAAUACUGACGCUCAUGUGCGAAAGCGUGGGGAGCAAACAGG
rnacentral:rRNA from 1 species